rnacentral:rRNA from 1 species
CCUACGGGUGGCAGCAGUGAGGAAUAUUUGUCAAUGGGCGCGAGCCUGAACCAGCCAAGUAGCGUGAAGGAUGACUGCCCUACGGGUUGUAAACUUCUUUUAUAAAGGAAUAAAGUGAGGCACGUGUGCCUUUUUGUAGGUACUUUAUGAAUAAGGAUCGGCUAACUCCGUGCCAGCAGCCGCGGUAAUACGGAGGAUCCGAGCGUUAUCCGGAUUUAUUGGGUUUAAAGGGAGCGUAGAUGGGUUGUUAAGUCAGUUGUGAAAGUUUGCGGCUCAACCGGAAAAUUGCAAUUGAUACUGGGAGUCUUGAGUACAGUUGAGGUAGGCGGAAUUCGUGGUGUAGCGGUGAAAUGCUUAGAUAUCACGAAGAACUCCGAUGGCGAAGGCAGCUUACUAGACUGCCACUGACAUUGAUGCACGAAGGUGUGGGUAUCAAACAGGAUUAGAUACCCUAGUAGUC